AGCCAAAAACAAACAAUGGCGAUUCGAUAUUUCUUCCUUCUAGUUUUUGUUUCCUCUGCAGUGUGCUCCCAUGGAGCUCGCCAUAUGCCUUUCUCCAUUGUUAAUCUCGUUAAGAACACAGGAAAGUCUUCCACGAUGUUUGAUGAGAAGAAUUUGAUUCGAAAAGUCAACUUAUGAAAGUUACGGAGAUAUGGCUACCGAUUCAUACCAUCUUUUUAAGAUGGAUGUUAAGAUGAUGAAGAUGAAGGACAUGGGUGUCAAUGCUUAUAGAUUCUCGAUUGCUUGGUCUCGAAUAUUCAUAUUAUAUAUGAAUGAAUAUACAUAUUAAACUUGAAGCUACCAUUUUGAAAAAAAAAAAUGAAAUCAUGAGGAUUUUCUUAAAUAUGUCACAGCCUUUUAUUCAAAUUUAAAAGAAGUUCAACUUUAAUGUGUAAAAACUUGCUUAAAAAACACUUUUUUAAUAUAAUUGAAACACAAUUUGAAUUUUCAAGCAAGCUACUCCGAUGGUCCGAACAAUCUUCUAUAGCAUAAUUGUUUUCUGUUCUUAAUAAUUAAUUUCACGUUCAGAGGAAAGAAUAAGCGGAUGAAUAAAUAAAGAGGGGAUCCAGUACUAUAAGAACCCCAUCAAUUAACUCUUAUCCAAUGGUUGUAAUUCAUUUCUUUGCAGUAGAUUAUAUUUUAUUUGUUCGUUCAGUAAGAAUAUUAUCUGCAUUUUGAUAAUAUUAUUUUUAUAUUAUAAUUAAAUACAGAUAUAAAACCAUUAGUGACUAUUUUUCAAUAGAAUGUCCCUCAAACUCUAGAUGACCUAUAUGGAGGGCUUUUA